GAAGCACGCCAGACCGCCGCUGGUGCCAUCGGGGAAACCUGGCACUGGAGGAACGUCCGGACUGCACAGGACAGCGUAGCAGCUAACGGCUGCCCACCGUGAGGUGAGGAUCAGAGCAACAGAGACGAGUCGAAGCGGGCAUCCAUGCCAGGCCACCGACGGUGUUCUAUCGGUCGCCCGCGCAAGCGGGCACGGCUGGCGCAAGCCAGACGGUUCGCGGCUUUCAAGCCGCGAAGACCAUAGCCACCCAAAGCGGGCGGCGCCCGCUUUGGGUGAAACGGGCAAUCUCUACGCGCAGCAAUACCAAGUAGGCCAGCGUUGAUGUGGUUCCGCAGAGCUGGCGGGUAGGUAGCACCGAGCCGUGGCGGCGACGCCCGGCCCAGAUUAAUGGCGGUCACGUUCGGGCAACCGAGCGCACAGAAUCCGGCUUAUCGGCGCGCUUCACAC
rnacentral:RNase_P_RNA from 1 species